rnacentral:rRNA from 1 species
CCUACGGGAGUCAGCAGUAGGGACUCUUCCACAAUGGGCGAAAGCCUGAUGGAGCAACGCCGCGUGGGUGAAGAAGGUCUUCGGAUCGUAAAACCCUGUUGUUAGAGAAGAAAGUGCGUGAGAGUAACUGUUCACGUUUCGACGGUAUCUAACCAGAAAGCCACGGCUAACUACGUGCCAGCAGCCGCGGUAAUACGUAGGUGGCAAGCGUUAUCCGGAUUUAUUGGGCGUAAAGGGAACGCAGGCGGUCUUUUAAGUCUGAUGUGAAAGCCUUCGGCUUAACCGGAGUAGUGCAUUGGAAACUGGGAGACGUGAGUGCAGAAGAGGAGAGUGGAACUCCAUGUGUAGCGGUGAAAUGCGUAGAUAUAUGGAAGAACACCAGUGGCGAAAGCGGCUCUCUGGUCUGUAACUGACGCUGAGGUUCGAAAGCGUGGGUAGCAAACAGGAUUAGAUACCCUGGUAGUC